rnacentral:rRNA from 1 species
GUGCCAGCCGCCGCGGUAAUACGUAGGUGGCAAGCGUUGUCCGGAAUUACUGGGUGUAAAGGGCGUGUAGGCGGGAGUGUAAGUCAGAUGUGAAAACCCGGAGCUCAACUUCGGGAUUGCAUCUGAAACUAUGCUUCUUGAGUGCUGGAGAGGAAAGCGGAAUUCCUAGUGUAGCGGUGAAAUGCGUAGAUAUUAGGAGGAACACCAGUGGCGAAGGCGGCUUUCUGGACAGUAACUGACGCUGAGGCGCGAAAGCGUGGGGAGCGAACAGGAUUAGAUACCCUGGUAGUCCACGCUGUAAACGAUGGAUACUAGGUGUAGGAGGUAUCGACCCCUUCUGUGCCGGAGUUAACACAAUAAGUAUCCCACCUGGGGAGUACGGCCGCAAGGUUGAAACUCAAAUAAAUUGACGG